rnacentral:miRNA from 1 species
UAGUGGCGUUUAGUAUUGUGG